rnacentral:rRNA from 1 species
UACAUAGGUCUCAAGCGUUGUUCGGAUUCAUUGGGCGUAAAGGGUGCGUAGGCGGCGCGGUAAGUCGGAUGUGAAAUCUCGGGGCUUAACUCCGAAACUGCAUUCGAUACUACCGUGCUUGAGGACUGGAGAGGAGACUGGAAUUUACGGUGUAGCGGUGAAAUGCGUAGAUAUCGUAAGGAAGACCAGUGGCGAAGGCGGGUCUCUGGACAGUUCCUGACGCUGAGGCGCGAAAGCUGGGGGAGCAAACGGG